GUAUCUAUUUAUAAAAGACAUUCUAACAUUUUAAAACCAAGUUUGCAAAAGACCUCGGCGGGGAGUCCCUAGAUUGGGCGCACAUCUGCGACCCCGCCAAAGUAACCAAAACAGUUCACAAAGGUGUAAGAUUGAACUGGGUCAAAGACCCCAUUCAGUAAUGAUCCUUCCGCAGGUUCACCUACGGAAA
rnacentral:misc_RNA from 1 species